CUUCCGUAGGUGAACCUGCGGAAGGAUCAUUACCGAGUGAGGGCCCUCUGGGUCCAACCUCCCACCCGUGUUUAUUUUACCUUGUUGCUUCGGCGGGCCCGCCUUAACUGGCCGCCGGGGGGCUUACGCCCCCGGGCCCGCGCCCGCCGAAGACACCCUCGAACUCUGUCUGAAGAUUGUAGUCUGAGUGAAAAUAUAAAUUAUUUAAAACUUUCAACAACGGAUCUCUUGGUUCCGGCAUCGAUGAAGAACGCAGCGAAAUGCGAUACGUAAUGUGAAUUGCAAAUUCAGUGAAUCAUCGAGUCUUUGAACGCACAUUGCGCCCCCUGGUAUUCCGGGGGGCAUGCCUGUCCGAGCGUCAUUGCUGCCCUCAAGCACGGCUUGUGUGUUGGGCCCCGUCCUCCGAUCCCGGGGGACGGGCCCGAAAGGCAGCGGCGGCACCGCGUCCGGUCCUCGAGCGUAUGGGGCUUUGUCACCCGCUCUGUAGGCCCGGCCGGCGCUUGCCGAUCAACCCAAAUUUUUAUCCAGGUUGACCUCGGAUCAGGUAGGGAUACCCGCUGAACUUAAGCAUAUCAAUAAGCGGAGGAA
rnacentral:rRNA from 1 species